GAGGGUAUAGUUCAGUGGUAGAGCACAUGCUUAGCAUUUAGGAGGUCUUGGGUUCAAUCCCCAGUACCUCCU
rnacentral:tRNA from 1 species